GAAGGUGAAGGGCAGGGGAAAGGAAAGACACAUUGACCAGGAAGAGGAGGAAGUUUUCAUGAUACCAUUGAUCAGUGCCAAAGCCCCAUUGCCUGUGGAGAAGGUGAUGUUUGAAUUCCUUGUACAGCUGCAAUUCGUGUGUUGAAGGUGCUCCCACAAUGUGGUUGGGGUGCUAGAUGGUGAAGAUUUGCAGACUGAAAUCUCAACAUCAUGUGCUGAUCGUGAUAAAGUUAACCAGAAUUUGAAGAACCAAAGAUAGAGAAUCACUCGGCCAAAAUCCUGCAACACUCGCCCUCCCAGCAUUGUCGGUUUAUCUGCGCCAAGUGGACUGUGAAUGGUUCAAGACAGCAGCUCACUCCCAUCUUCUC